rnacentral:rRNA from 1 species
UACGUAGGGUGCGAGCGUUGUCCGGAAUUACUGGGCGUAAAGAGCUCGUAGGUGGUUUGUCGCGUUGUUCGUGAAAUCUCACGGCUUAACUGUGAGCGUGCGGGCGAUACGGGCAGACUAGAGUACUGCAGGGGAGACUGGAAUUCCUGGUGUAGCGGUGGAAUGCGCAGAUAUCAGGAGGAACACCGGUGGCGAAGGCGGGUCUCUGGGCAGUAACUGACGCUGGAGGAGCGAAAGCGUGGGGAGCGAACAGG